rnacentral:rRNA from 1 species
GACGAACGCUGGCGGCGUGCCUAAUACAUGCAAGUUGAGCGAUGAAGAUUGGUGCUUGCACCAAUUUGAAGAGCAGCGAACGGGUGGGUAACGCGUGGGGAAUCUGCCUUUGAGCGGGGGACAACAUUUGGAAACGAAUGCUAAUACCGCAUAAUAACUUUAAACAUAAGUUUUAAGUUUGAAAGAUGCAAUUGCAUCACUCAAAGAUGAUCCCGCGUUGUAUUAGCUAGUUGGUGAGGUAAAGGCUCACCAAGGCGAUGAUACCGAGCCGACCUGAGAGGGUGGUCGGCCACAAUGGGAAUGAGGCACGGCCCAAACUUCUACGGGAGGGAGCAGGAGGGAAACCUCGGGCAAGGAGGAAAGGCUGAACGAGCAACGCCGGGUGAGGGAAGAAGGUUUUCGGAUCGUAAAAAUCCGUUGGUAGAGAAGAACGAUGGGGAGAGUGGAAAGCUCAUCAAGUGACGGUAACUACUCAGAAAGGGACGGCUAACUACGUG